rnacentral:rRNA from 1 species
GAUCAUAGCUCAGGAUGAACGUUGGCGGCGUGCUUAACACAUGCAAGUCGAGCGAAGCACUUUACUUGGAUUUCUUCGGAAUGACGAGUAUUGUGACUGAGCGGCGGACGGGUGAGUAACGCGUGGGUAACCUGCCUCAUACAGGGGAUAACAGUUAGAAAUGACUGCUAAUACCGCAUAAGACCACAGCACCGCAUGGUGCAGGGGUAAAAACUCCGGUGGUAUGAGAUGGACCCGCG